CCUGUCAGCACUGCGUUGGUCUUCAAUAUAAUAUGCUUUGCCAAAAAUAUUUACGCCAUUCAUCACUUGCAGAAGGCUGCCAACAUGGCAGCAUCGAACAGCCCUAAAGCAUCAUUAACCCUCAUCUGUAUCAAGCUGACCACAGUCAUGGGUCUGACCUGGAUUCUAGCACUUGCUUCUAAUUGGAAACAAACUGACUUCCUACGAUACCCUUCAACAGUGUUAAACAGCUAUGGGGAUUUUCUAUCACGUUGUGUUUUGUUACCACGAAAAGAGUCCGAGGUCUGCUCAGAGAGAGAUUUUCCAAACGAAGAAAUAAGUCAGUUGAAGCUCAACCAAGUUCCUCUCAUGACCAACAUAUACUAAGACUUGCUGAAAUUGAAACUGUUGCAGGUUUGUCUCCUGUUUCCACGCAACAAGCGAGGCGAAACCUUGCUUACACUGCAUCUCGUGUCUGAUUCCAUCCAUUUUCUUUGUUUCUCGGAAAGAUAUGCGUUGGCUUUAAAUCAAAGAAAACCUUGACCGUGUUUUGUUAUUGGGCAAAACUAGAUAUUUUAAUAUUUUGGAUUUGAUGACAAGAACAAUAAAAACCUUGCCACGAAUGGAUGCUUUGAUGGGACAUAGGAAAAGAGGAACAUUUUGAGCAGAACUUUC